GGGCCCUUAGCUCAGUUGGUCAGAGCAACCGGCUCAUAACCGGACGGUCCCAGGUUCGAGUCCUGGAGGGCCCA
rnacentral:tRNA from 2 species